rnacentral:rRNA from 1 species
CGCGGUAUUUUGACUGUGCGAAGGUAGCAUAAUCAUUUGUCUUUUAAUUGAAGACUUGUAUGAAUGGCUGAACGAGAAAAUAACUGUCUCUUUAAAAAAAUCUUGAAUUUUACUUUUAAGUGAAAAGGCUUAAAUAAAUUUAAGGGACGAUAAGACCCUAUAAAUCUUUAUAUCAUUUUCUUUAUCUUUCAAAUUAUAUAUUAAAAGAAAGAAAAAGAAAAAGUAUUAUAUUGGGGAGAUAAAAAUAUAAUUUUUUAACUGUUUUAAAUACAAAACAAUAAUUUUUGCUUUAUUAAAAAUUGAUCCUUUUUAAAGAUUUUAAGAUUAAGUUACUUUAGGGAUAACAGCGUAAUUUUUUUUGAGAGUUCUUAUCGAAAAAAAAGUUUGCGACCUCGAUGUUGAAUUAAAAAUAUCCUUAUAAGUGCA